ensembl:lncRNA
AAAAGACUGAAACAGACAGAUAAAGAGUGAUGUAAACACAAGACCGAGACAGAGAUACAGAAGGGAAAUGGGAAUACAGAAAAUAGGCAGGAGGGAAAAAAAAGCAUAAUUACAGUUACAAAGUUAGAACAGAAAGAGAUGAGAGACGAAACAGCUCAGACAGAGAUGGAUGACUGUAUCCGCUGUACACGUGCAAACACCGUGUUGCAAUGACGAUGAUGGGCCUGUCAUGUGACCAUGGCUGUGUGUCCAUUGCUGUGUGUCCAGAUGGCCAGAACACAGACCUCGCUGGAAUCACAACCAUCAGACAACAGCUAUAAUAGCGCUCUGUGUUUUGUGUGUGUGUGAUGCACGUGCAUUUUAAUUGUGCACUUUGAC